UACAGAGGGGGCUAGCGUUGUUUGGAAUCACUGGGUGUAAAGGGUGCGUAGGCUGUCCGUUAAGUCUGAUGUGAAAGCCCUGGGCUCAACUCAGGAAUUGCAUUGGAAACUGGCGGACUCAGAGUACCGGAGAGGGAAGCGGAAUUCCUGGUGUAGCGGUGAAAUGCGUAGAUACCAGGAGGAACACCGGUGGCGAAAGCGGCUUCCUGGUCCAGCAUCGACGUUCAGGCACGAAAGCGUGGGGAGCAAACAGG
rnacentral:rRNA from 1 species